CAUCUGAUAUAGUGGUUAGCAAAGCAGACUGCUGUGCUGUAGGGCCUGGGUUCGAAUCCCAGAGGUAUAGU